UACGUAGGGCGCAAGCGUUGUCCGGAAUUAUUGGGCGUAAAGAGCUCGUAGGCGGUCUGUCGCGUCUGCCGUGAAAACCCGAGGCUUAACCUCGGGCUGGCGGUGGAUACGGGCAGACUAGAGGUAGGUAGGGGAGAAUGGAAUUCCCGGUGUAGCGGUGAAAUGCGCAGAUAUCGGGAGGAACACCGGUGGCGAAGGCGGCAUCCUGGACCAAUACUGACACUGAGGAGCGAAAGCCAGGGGAGCAAACGGGG
rnacentral:rRNA from 1 species